rnacentral:rRNA from 1 species
UACGAAGGGGGCUAGCGUUGCUCGGAAUCACUGGGCGUAAAGGGUGCGUAGGCGGGUCUUUAAGUCAGGGGUGAAAUCCUGGAGCUCAACUCCAGAACUGCCUUUGAUACUGAGGAUCUUGAGUUCGGGAGAGGUGAGUGGAACUGCGAGUGUAGAGGUGAAAUUCGUAGAUAUUCGCAAGAACACCAGUGGCGAAGGCGGCUCACUGGUCCGGUUCUGACGCUGAGGCGCGAAAGCGUGGGGAGCAAACAGG